rnacentral:lncRNA from 1 species
UUCUUGCCACAAGGUUAACAUUUCAUUGUAUUAAGUAGUUACGUCUAUGUCCCAUUCCUUAGCAUGCCAUAAAUUUGAAUUCAUACCAAAGAUUGGGAGGAAUUGAGAAUAUCUAAGUAUAUUUCCCUGAAAGUUUGCCACAACCUUUGUAGACGAUAAGAGCAUAUAGAGCUUGCCAAUUCCAGUUUCCAUAAUGCCUACC